rnacentral:lncRNA from 1 species
GUCCAUGCCCCUCUAAUCAAAGAAAUGUGAGGUUAACAAGAGGCUCCAAAUACAUUUCCUGGCAACAAGACAAAAGUUAGUCUACUGAGAAGUUUAUGCAGAGGGAAUAUUUCUUGUAUAUACAGUUGUGUCUUGUUCUCAGAUGCCCAUACCAAAGCAAUUACUGCAUGGGAGAUGCCGACUGGCUGGAAGAACCUGUUCAUUCUGGGUCUGGAAUGGAGUCUGUGAGGAGCUCAGUUUCCUGGGGUGGAAGGAGGCAGCAGUCUGAUCUCCGGUGGUUUGUGCCUGGGCUGAGUUCCAACCUGAUGGAGAAGAUGGUCUGAAGGACAAGAGCAUCCCCCACUUGUGAUGGGCUGCUUGUAUUGCCUGUCCUGGUGUUGAGCAGGCAGGGUGAGUGCACUGCAGCGAGGCCGUGGGUUCCUGGAUCCGAUUGCUUCCAGGGACAGUAGGGAACACCUCCCCCUCCACAUCCAUGAUCAGGUCUAUGAGCACAGGCAAACCCACAAGAUCAAGAGCCCAAAUUUAUAGGCAGCUCCCAUGGGAAUUG